rnacentral:rRNA from 1 species
CCUACGGGGGGCAGCAGUGGGGAAUAUUGGACAAUGGGGGCAACCCUGAUCCAGCCAUGCCGCGUGUGUGAAGAAGGCCCUCGGGUUGUAAAGCACUUUCAGUGAGGAAGAACGCCUGGUGGUUAAUACCCAUCAGGAAAGACAUCACUCACAGAAGAAGCACCGGCUAACUCCGUGCCAGCAGCCGCGGUAAUACGGAGGGUGCGAGCGUUAAUCGGAAUUACUGGGCGUAAAGCGCGCGUAGGUGGCUUGAUAAGCCGGUUGUGAAAGCCCCGGGCUCAACCUGGGAGCGGCAUCCGGAACUGUCAAGCUAGAGUGCAGGAGAGGAAGGUAGAAUUCCCGGUGUAGAGGUGAAAUGCGUAGAGAUCGGGAGGAAUACCAGUGGCGAAGGCGGCCUUCUGGACUGACACUGACACUGAGGUGCGAAAGCGUGGGUAGCAAACAGGAUUAGAUACCCCUGUAGUC